rnacentral:rRNA from 1 species
UACGUAGGGGGCAAGCGUUGUCCGGAAUCAUUGGGCGUAAAGAGCGUGUAGGCGGCCAGAUAAGUCCGCUGUGAAAUCUCGAGGCUCAACUUCGAGCUGUCGGUGGAAACUGUCUGGCUAGAGUCCGGAAGAGGAGAAUGGAAUUCCUGGUGUAGCGGUAAAAUGCGCAGAUAUCAGGAAGAACACCCGUGGCGAAGGCGGUUCUCUGGGACGGUACUGACGCUGAGGUGCGAAAGCGUGGGGAGCAAACAGG